rnacentral:rRNA from 1 species
AUUGAACGCUGGCUGCAUGCUUAACACAUGCAAGUCGAACGGCAGCAUGAGGAGCUUGCUCCUUGAUGGCGAGUGGCGGACGGGUGAGUACAAAUUAGGAAUCUGCCUUGUAGUGGGGGACAACACGGGGAAACUCGUGCUAAUACCGCAUACGCCCUUCGGGGGAAAGUGGGGGAUCUUCGGACCUCACGCUAUAAGAUGAGCCUAAUCCGGAUUAGCUUGUUGGUGAGGUAAAAGCUCACCAAGGCGACGAUCUGUAGCUGGUCUGAGAGGACGAUCAGCCACACUGGGACUGAGACACGGCCCAG